rnacentral:lncRNA from 1 species
GAAGCUCGAGAAUUCUGUUAUUAUUGUAAUUUGAUGUAUACGACAAGUGAAUUACGUUAAUUUCUCUACAACGAUUAUAAAAUUAAUAAAUUCAGUUGAUAUGAAAAAAUGAAGAUCGCAAUCGUAUUAUGUUUCUUCGUACUGUGUUCAAUUUUAUCUGGAAGGAGCGAAAACUUGCAAAAUGAAUCGACCCUUAUCGAUGGAACAUUAAAGGCAAAUGAAACGGAUCAGAUUUUACAGGCAUUGGAGAAACUAGAGAAGCAAGUUAAAAACAUUGUAAAAUCUGCAGUUCGGUUUGGUCUUCCUUUCUUGAUGAGAACUGCUGAACAAGCGAAUUUGUCUCAUUCGUGUA